rnacentral:rRNA from 1 species
CUGCUGCCUUCCGUAGGAGUCUGGGCCGUGUCUCAGUCCCAAUGUGGCCGUCCACUCUCUCAAGCCGGCUACUGAUCGUCGCCUUGGUGAGCCGUUACCUCACCAACCAGCUAAUCAGACGCGGGUCCAUCCCAUAGCGAUAAAUCUUUGAAGAAAAGAACAUGCGCUCUCUCCUUGUUAUGCGGUAUUAGCAGCCGUUUCCAGCUGUUGUCCCCCUCUAUGGGGGCAGGUUGCCCACGCGUUACU